rnacentral:lncRNA from 1 species
AUGAUUCCCCAGCAGAAGCAGAGAAAGUAGACUGGUGAUACUUGUUUGAUUCUAAACAUCUGGUCUAGGGGUUAUUCUAAAAAAUUGUAAAUAUCUUUGCAUUGCAUAUUUAGGCUUCAAGGAAAUAAUCGAAUGCUAGAGGGGCUAUCAAGACUUCGCAAUUACCUUCUACUACAAAUCAAAAUUUUCUAUUAUUAAUGCAUUGUAUAAUGACUGGACCUUGAAUUACUAAACAUCUGGUCUAGGGGUUAUUCUAAAAAAUUGUAAAUAUCUUUGCAUUGCAUAUUUAGGCUUCAAGGAAAUAAUCGAAUGCUAGAGGGGCUAUAGAGAGUUCGCAAUUAACUUCUUCUACAAAUCAAAAUUUUCUAUUAUUAAUGCAUUGUAUAAUGACUGGACCUUGAAUUAGAUUGGAGAGCCCCAUAGGAAAUCUAAAUAGUUGUGGAA